ensembl:lncRNA
GAGAGAGCUCCCAUGGACGUGCAGAAAAUAAUGAAUGAGUCAUCAAGGGAAAGUUCACCUCAGAUAUUUCACCAGCUGCCGAGGGCCUCCAGUGCCACCAAGUUACUGUUCGAAUUUUUCUCCGCCUUAGUGGAAUUCGUCAUGGGCUGCUCCUCAGAGCUACCCCUCCUGAGGCUAGGCUAUGGCCAACCAGCAGCUCUACUUACCUGGGGGUUGAGAGUCUGCUAACGGUGAGACACGUGUGGGUGUUGGGUAUUGUGUCUCAGUGCCGAGGAACGUGACUUGGGCAUACAUCUUUCCCUCCUCUCCUGCAAAUGGACCAUUUCAGGCAAAAGGACUUGGAACAGGACCCUCUAGAUGCCCGGGAAACCAGCUGUCGGCCUGCCCUCAUCUCUGCUCCGAGGCUGGCAGAUGCCCAGGGGAUCCAUUUUACAGCCACUCUGUUUUUCUCCCAGUGCUGGAGUUCUGCGUGCUUCAUCUUGAGCAAAGUACUUCUCACGGGCCUUGGCAAAUAACUGACUGUAAUUCAUGAGGCUGGGAGGUAAUGCGGGAGUAGUUUCCCCCCUCCUCUACCCCUCUGCUAGGACCCUGCUGUGGGUCAUGUGCUCCUUUAGACACAGCAUCUGAAGCUUGUCAAGGGCAACUCAUUUCUGCUGGGGAGCAGACCGGCUUCUUCAGCGCCAGGGUCUCCUCCUGUCUCAGGAGUUCACAGAGCUGUGGGUGGACAUCUCCACCACCAAGGAGCAGGUCACCUCUCCCUCAUGGGCAAACAGUCGUGUUUGUGUGUGGGGUUCCCCAUUUGUCUCUGGUGGGUGGAGCCUUCUGCUUCAGACUGAUCUCUCUCCCCAGUUAGAAGUGAGAAGCUCUGAAGAAGACAAACUAUCCCCCAACCCGACCUUCGUACACAAUGUUGGUGCCACUUGGCCCCCAUUCAGUUGCUUGGUGUGAGCCAUUUUACCACCUCGCUUUGAACCACACUGUCCUGCCCCACCACACCCAGCCCUUGCUUAGCACACCAACCCUGGUCAAAGCUUCACGUCCUUCACAGAUCCUCUUGCUCCACCCCUGUCGCCAUUUUGUACAGUUCCCCAGCUCCUGCCUGAGUGACUUCCUGGAGACCUGGCCGGUUGCUUCGAAAUCUCUUGUUCUCACAAUGCUUUUGAUUGAUUUCAGGUUGCUGUCCCCGGAGCUCUAUUUCUCCGACUGAAUAGCUCACCCCCGAGUGAGAUCACGGAAGGAACAAUCUAAUGCGUACCCAUAGAAGCCAGCAUGGUGGAACAGUUAGGAACUGAGGUUCUGGAGUCAGAUUGCUGUACUCAGGUUCUGCUGUUUGCUAAAGAACUUUGCUGUUCAUUAUGAGAACUUGAACUUCUCUGUUUCUCUACUUACCUACUUCUAGAGAGUGUGAUGCCAAAAUUGAUUGGUGGUAUAAUGUUAGGCCUAAGGGUAUAGGAUUAAGGGUGUGAGCGCUAUCUGUUUUAAAUAGUCUAGCUAAGACAAACGGGGCAGAAAGAUACUGUUUUUGGUUUUUUUUGUUGCUUUUGCUACCUUGCAGGCACCAUGAUCUGUACUCUGCCACGCCCCUCUGCCAAGCCACCUUGCCCUGGAGCCAGCCAAUUAUGGACAGAAAUCUCUACCAACUGUGCCCUAAAUAAACCUUUGCUCCUUUAAUUUUUGGGUGUCAGGUAUUUUGUCUCAGCAAACGAGAAAAUAACUAAGACACUCUAACUCAAAAAAUGAGGGGAAAAAUCAUGACAAAAUAAAUUCAAGCAAAGCAGGAGUUAAUUAGUAAGGAAAAAAGCAAAAUUUUUAAUUAUUUAGAAAAUAAAAGGAAGUAUUAAGUUAAAAAUGAAUUUAAUAGGGAAACACUGGCUAUUUGAUUCUAGGAAAUGAAGAUAGUUCAAACAUGC